rnacentral:rRNA from 1 species
UGGGGAAUUUUGGACAAUGGGCGAAAGCCUGAUCCAGCAAUGCCGCGUGUGUGAAGAAGGCCUUCGGGUUGUAAAGCACUUUUGUCCGGAAAGAAAUCCUUGGCUCUAAUACAGUCGGGGGAUGACGGUACCGGAAGAAUAAGCACCGGCUAACUACGUGCCAGCAGCCGCGGUAAUACGUAGGGUGCAAGCGUUAAUCGGAAUUACUGGGCGUAAAGCGUGCGCAGGCGGUUUGCUAAGACCGAUGUGAAAUCCCCGGGCUCAACCUGGGAACUGCAUUGGUGACUGGCAGGCUAGAGUAUGGCAGAGGGGGGUAGAAUUCCACGUGUAGCAGUGAAAUGCGUAGAGAUGUGGAGGAAUACCGAUGGCGAAGGCAGCCCCCUGGGCCAAUACUGACGCUCAUGCACGAAAGCGUGGGGAGCAAACAGGAUUAGAUACCCUGGUAGUCCACGCCCUAAACGAUGUCAACUAGUUGUUGGGGGAUUCAUUUCCUUAGUAACGUAGCUAACGCGUGAAGUUGACCGCCUGGGGAGUACGGUCGCAAGAUUAAAACUCAAAUGAAUUGACGGGGUCAUAGCUGUUUCCU